rnacentral:tRNA from 1 species
AAGGCCUUAGCUUAAUUAAAGUAUUUGUUUUGCAUACAAAAGAUGUGGGGUAGAGUCCUGCAGGUCUUA